rnacentral:rRNA from 1 species
GACGAACGCUGGCGGCGUGCUUAACACAUGCAAGUCGAACGAAGUGGCGAACGGGUGAGUAAAGCGUAAUCAACCUGCCCUUCAGAGGGGGACAACAGUUGGAAACGACUGCUAAUACCGCAUACUGAAGGAGGGGAUUGAGUCUGAUUAGCUAGUGGGAGGGGUAACGGCCCACAAAGGCGAUGAUCAGUAGCAGGUCUGAGCGGAUGAACGGCGACAGUGGGACUGAGACACGGCCCAGACUCCUACGUUAGGCAGCAGUGGGGAAUCUUCCGCAAUGGACGAAAGUCUGACGGAGCAACGCCGCGUGAGUGAUGACGGCCUUCGGGUUGUAAAGCUCUGUUAAUCGGGACGCGGUACCGGAAUAGAAAGCCACGGCUAACUACGUGCCAGCAGCCGCGGUAAUAC